rnacentral:lncRNA from 1 species
AUGGGAUAUAAGGAGGACAGUGGAUCAGGAGGACAUUUGGGAAUUUCAGAACUUCACACAACAGAGUCAUCUUUGGAAAAAUUAGCUACAACUCUUAAGAAAUCAUGGUGGGUGGUAAGUGGGCCUGGGAUGUGUGCUCAUCCUGAGGCAGAAAGGCAAAAUGGCUCAAGUGUGUCCGAAGAUUGAGGGGUGGUAAAUAGAAACAUCCCUUCCCACUUCAUCUCUGCUCAUCCCAGCCUUGCUCCCUGGAGGCAGGCACUUUUAACUUUCAGAUGCUCUUCUGGUUGUUACUUCUGUAUUUCUAAAACAAAACAUUUAGUAACACAUUUGAUAUAGGUACUUGUUUUUAAACAUAUGUAAGUCAUUUAUUGAUGGUUUUAGGUUGCUUGUUCUUGGAAAGAGGGUUUACUUUAAUUUUUUAUUUUAUUUUAUUUUUAAAAAUUUAUUUCUUUUUUUGUUUCUUUUUUUUUUUCAGUACUGGGACUCCAACUCAUGACCUUGAGCUUGUGAGCCAGACACGGCAGUACUGAGCUAAAUCCC